rnacentral:tRNA from 4 species
CGGGACGUGGCGCAGUCUGGAAGCGCACCUGAAUGGGGUUCAGGGGGUCGGAGGUUCAAAUCCUCUCGUCCCGACCA